UACAGAGGUGGCAAGCGUUGUUCGGAAUUACUGGGCGUAAAGGGCGCGUAGGCGGUCCGAUAAGUCCCGUGUGAAAGCCCCCGGCUCAACUGGGGAACUGCACGGGAAACUGACGGACUUGAGUUCGGGAGAGGGAAGCGGAAUUCCGGGUGUAGCGGUGAAAUGCGCAGAUAUCAGGAGGAACACCAAUGGCGAAGGCAGCACUCUGGGACGUGACUGACGCUGAGACGCGAAAGCGUGGGGAGCAAACAGG
rnacentral:rRNA from 1 species